rnacentral:rRNA from 1 species
UACGGAGGGUGCGAGCGUUGUCCGGAAUUAUUGGGCGUAAAGGGCGCGUAGGCGGUCUGAUAAGUCUGAUGUGAAAUCUCUGGGCUCAACCCAGAGUCUGCAUUAGAAACUGUCGGGCUUGAGUAUGGGAGAGGUGCGUGGAAUUUCCGGUGUAGCGGUGAAAUGCGUAGAUAUCGGAAGGAACACCUGUGGCGAAAGCGGCGCACUGGACCAAAACUGACGCUGAGGCGCGAAAGCUAGGGGAGCAAACAGG